rnacentral:lncRNA from 10 species
CUUACCUUGUGCCCAGCACUCAGACACUAAGUUCCAUUUCCCUCAUGAACCUCUGAUCAUUUGUAGCAGAAGAAGAAAUCUAAGGGCCAGGAGGUUUUGUGUCUUGCACAAGAUCACACUGCAAGUCAGAGAAGGAUCUGGAAUUUGAGCUCAGAUUUGUAAGUCUCAUCGUCCCUGUUUUCUACCCUGGCUCUGCCAUGAAGUGCCACCAAAGGCUUUGAGAAUGGAAGGAGGCCACUGUGGGGCUGGCUGUCUGGGAAGGCUCAGGGAAAGGAGGGAUGUGAGCCGCACUUUGAGCCUGGGACUUGGGAAGAGCAGGGAGGGAGAGGGCCGGCUGGCUGGAGGAGGCAGCUGGCCAGGAGAGCAGUGGAGGAUUGUCCUGGGAAAGAAGAACCAAACUGUGACAGCCUCGAGAGGCUUCCUCUCCAGGGCCAGAGCUGUUCCCAGGACAUGAUGGCUGGGCCACCAAAUUGUAGACCCUUAAAUGCCAGGCUAAGAACUGAAACUUCAUCCUGUAGCAACAAGAGACCGUGAAGAUUCAAGCCUGAUUAACUGCAAAGUCAUCUUAAGGGGAGACCGGAAAAUUAAAGAAUACACAGAGAGGGCGUGGAAAAGCUGAAGCUCCCUUUGCUAAGGAAAGCUGAGAUCUGAAACACAAGCCUGCUCCUGCCCUUCUCUCUCCCCCACCGCAGCCUGCCACCUUUCCCAGCCCUUUAUGCGCCUCCCUCGCAUGACACACAUAAUCUAGUGACCUUGGUGACUAAGGCACAGAACUGGAGAGAAUGCGUCACGCCCACUCAUUCCUGCCAAUGGCAAAGGGCUGCCCAGUUCAGACGUUCCCGGCAGGCAGCCACAGCAUCCUCUCGCUCUGCAUCCAGGGUGACUCAGCAUUUGCAGAGACAUGAAUGUGAUGCAAAGUGACUCAACCUCCCCCUCCCACAGGACUAUCCCAAGCUGUGGGCUCUGUCCCAGGACCAACAGGACAGGUGCCAAGAGGGCAGGCCUUCGCCAGGCCCUGCACUUGAAGAGGCUGGGGAGGCCAGCCUGGCUGUAGGCUCCCCUCAGCCGGCCAGGUGUGCCCAUCCCUGAACUCUCCUGCCAUUGGCCUGUGCCAGAGCUGGGACCCCAUCCAGAUGAAGCCCUGAUUUGGACAUGAGGAAAAGGAUCUCAUUUUUAGUAACAGCACUGCAGAUAACAUGACGGUGUAGCCAUGUGGAUUCAGACUUAGAGAUGGUCACAGGUCCCACAGCCUCUCCAGCCUCUGUGGGAAGAAGGAUCAUCUGAUGCCUAUGUAAUAGAGUUGCUGAAGGAGUGGAAGCAGCUUUGACAUUAUCAGUGGAACCCACCAGUGCAGACUGCUUCACCAAGGGCACCUGAGGCAGCAGAUCUGAGGAUUAGGGACGUAGGGAGCUGAAGCCUGGCUGGAGAGGUGGUGCGCACAAGAACCCCCACAUUCCCCGACAGGAGCCUGAAAAAGCAAGACGCCAUGUUGGGAGGACACGGAAGCAGUUCUAGGGAGAGGAGCACAUGGCAAGAAGCCAAGGCCUCCUGCCCACAGCCGAUACCCUGUGAUUGCCAGCAAGUAAACCAGAUGCAAUUGUGGUUUCCGUGAAGCACAGCUGGAAAACUGCUGCCCCCACGGAGGAAGAGGAAGAUGGGAAGAUGGUGGUUACUGCACACCAGGCACCAGCCUCGGGGCUAUGAGCUGUACAAACAUUACCCAUUUUAUCCUCGUGACCAUGUUCUGAGAAGGCUGUCAAUGAUCUCACUUUAUACAUGGGGAAAUUCAUGCAGACAGAGGCUGACUAAAUUGCCAUGGUCACUCAGCUAGUAGGAACUGGAGCUGUAACUUGAACCCGGGUCUUUUGUUUCUGUGGCUCCUGGUAGCACAUGCCGGGCUUGAAGUGAGAUCCGGAGGAUGUUGGAAACAACGUGUUCCCCAUCAUGAAAGUCCUUAUGAUACCUUAUGAUGCAGAGUUGGCAGCCAGGAGCAGGGGCUUCCAGAAGCAUGGCUGACCCUUGUUGGGAUCUCGCUCCUGUGAGCCUUGGAACGUCUAGGGAGAAAGAGCAGCCAAAUUUAGAGCUGCAGGAGCUUUGAGAUGCAGCUCAGGCAUCAUCUCUGGGAAGUCUUUCCUGGAACCACAGCCUGGGCCCUGUACCUGAUUCCCAGCCCCUGUGGCUCUUUUUGCAUUUGCUGCCUCUUUUCACAAUUCUGUCUCCUUAUGUCUUCCACUCUACACGCAAGCCCCUUGAGGGCAGGACCAUGACUCAGUCAUCCUGUACCCUAGCACCCACCCUGGGUCUGCAUCUGGAAGGAGCUCACUAAGUGAUUAUUGAGCCAAACUGAACUGUAGCAGGAGUGAGCAAAGCUAAUUCAUGGGUGCAGAAUGGGAGCACAGAGCUGCCAGAAUCCAGAGACAACUGUAACUGUCCCGGCACAGGGGGCUUCAGGCCGCGGUGAGAGCCACUGAAAGCAAGAGAGCCAGGUGGUGGCUCAGUUCACACUGAGUCCUGCUGAAGAAAUAGGCACAUCGUGUGUGUUAAAAUCAGCACCCCAUGCACCUGUAGGAAGAGACUGAGGCACCCUGGAGGCCCCUCCCAAUAAUUAAAAGGCCCUCUGGGGCCUGUGGGAGCCCUAGCUGAUGAAAUCACAAAGGCCUCAGCCUCUAAAGUGUUUCCAGUAAAAUGCUACCAGGAUUUUCCUCCCUUAAAUCUGGAUGAAAGGGCUGUCUGUGCUACAAAGUGCACACCUGGCGUUGAUACGCAGUCUCUUGCUGCCUGUUAACUAACCCACCAGCCGACAAGUUCUGCCCACUGGCAGGAGCAAGGACUUAUAAAAAAUAGUGCCUCCCUCCCAAGGGCUUAUGAGCUGGUUAAGUGCAGAGGACAAAUAGAAUGAAAGAAAAGGCAAUCUCGGCAUAGUAUUUAGUUAAUUCUUCUCUCUCUCUUGUUCCCUCUCUCUCCUUUCUCUCUUCCUCCCUCCUUUCUAUGACUUGUCCUCUCCACACAACUCCUUUUCCGUUUUCCCUCCCCUGCCUCCCCACCUUCUUUCUUGACUUCCCAUCUUGCUCCCUUUCUUCCUGCCUGCCCAUCUGCUUUCCUUUCUUAUCUCUGGUGCAAAUUCUGCAUAUAGUCGCUCUCCUCAUUUCAUGACAGGCUGUCUUCAUCAGUUUCUGAGUUCUUUUGUUAUUUUAUAAAAUAUUUUACAUGCUGUCCUCAAAAAAUCCCCUCCCCCAGAAAAGGCCCAUUCAAAAGUACUUACUAUACGUCCUUAGAUAGGCAAUGAUCUCUGAAAUAUAUAUAGGCUUGCUCUAUAUGUGUUUUUGUAAGUGUACUUUUCUUUCAUUAAAUAUGCAGAUCUUAAUUGUACAGUUUGAGGUGUUUUGACAAAGGUAUAUACCAGUAAAACCACCACCCCAACCAAGGUACCGAACACUUUCAUCUCUCUGGAAAGUCCCCUUGUGCCACCUUCCAGUCAACUCUCACCCUCCAGAGGCACCCACUGUUCAGAUUUCUACAUGCAUUUUGCCUGUUGCUGAACUGGAACCUCACAGCCUUUUACGUCUGGCUUCUUUCACUUAACAUAAUGUUUUUAAGUCAUCCAUGUAGUUCAUUCUUUUUUUUGUUGCAGAGCAAUAUUCCAUUGUGUGAAUGGAUGUACUUUAUCCAUCAACAGUUGAUGAAGUUGGGUUGGUGGCACUUUUUGGCUAUCGUGGGUAAUGCUGCUCUGGAUGUUUCUGCACAAGUCUUUAUUGUGGACAUGGGUUUCCAUUUCUUCUGGGCAAAUGCCCAGGAACAGAAUUGCUGAUUCAUUAGGAAGUUAUAUGUUUAACUUCAUAAGAAACUGGAAAACCGCACUCCACAGUGUUCAUGCUAUUGCACAUUGCCCCCAGUGCCAUGUGAAUGUUUCAUUCUUGGGGUCUAGAAUAUCUUACUGCAGUUUUAAUUGGAAGUUCUCUGAUGACUUUUGAUAGAGUAUCUUUUCAUGUGCUUAUUGGUUAUUUAUUUCUUCUUUAAAGAAGAGUCUAGAUCCUUUUCCCAUUUAAAAUUGCAUUGCUUCUAUUUUUACUGUUGAUUCUUAGAAGUUCUUUACAUAUUUUAGAUUUAUAUACAGUAAAUAUUUUCUCCCAGUCCAUGGCUUGCCUUUACCUUUUCUUAAUGGUGUCUUUUGAUUAACCAGACAUUUUAAAUUUUCAUGAAGCCUAUUGUAUCGGGGGUUGUUUUUGUUUGUUCAUUUAUGGUUAGUACUCUUUUUGGUGCUAGCCAGGAAAACUUUGCCUACAUUCUCCUAAGCUCAUGAAUAUAUUUUUCUAUAUUUGUUUCUAGGACAUUUAUAAUUCAAACUUUUAUGUUCUAGCCUAUCACUCAUGUAUAGUUAUGUAUAGUAUAAAUAAGGAUUGAAGUUCAUUUUUCUUUCCAUAUACUUAUCCAGUUAUUCCAGCACCAUUUGUUGAAAACACUUUCUUUCCCUCAUUGAAUUUCCUUGAAGCUUGUGCUCAUAACUUAUAUAACGAGUAUUGCGUUACAAUUUCCAUUAUAUUUCUUAAUUUUUCACUUAACACAAUGUUUAUAUGAUCUAUCCGCAAUGCUGUAUUCAGUCAUUUGAAUUCACUCAUUCAUUUUAUCAUUCAAUAAAUCUGCAGUGGUGAAGAAAACAGAACAUGGCUUUAUUCUCAUGAAAUUUAUAAUCUAGUGAGAGAUAUUGGCCAAAAAAAUUAUACACACACACCCAGGUAAUGAUAAGAGCUA